rnacentral:lncRNA from 1 species
GCUCCCAACAAAACAGUUCCAUCUUUGGCUAGGCCUUUGGUAUUUCAAGGCGCUGCCAGGGGGAGAGAUGCCGCGUGCCUGAGAGGCUCUGGGAGGCACCAAAGAAGGCCCAGAGAGGUUUAACAGUUUCCUCAGAAUCACACAGCUUCCAAAUGGUUGGGCUGGGUUUACAUUUAGGCGGUCUUGCUCCAGAGCCAGUGCUCCUAAGCAUUGCAAGCCACGAACCUCAACAAAGUGAAGGAAACGCUGGGAAAUUUGGAAGUCAGAUAUGGCAAGUUUUUCUAACUGUAAGAAGAGGACAAUAGCCUAUGAUCUACCGUGUCGAUUCCAACUCAGAGAAUCUUUACAUCUGGAGAUCUACAGCAGGGCUAUCCCUAGUGACAUGCGUGAAGGAGCUUGGAAAUGGUGCUGGGUAGGAGCUGAGUGUGCAGAAUGUGGAAAGGCAUUCUAAACCUAAGGAAGAACAUGAGUAAAGAUGAUGAAGCAGGGAUAAGGCUAAAAUGAAAUAUGUGAUCUGAUCCACAUACAAACACAGCGUAGUACAGCUGGAAUAUAGAGAAGAGCUUGAGGACCCAUGAGCAACUAUCCCAGUACUCUUGGAGGCUCUGCCACCACAGUUUGAGAAACUCCGCAUUCAAAGUUAAAAACUGUCACCUGAAUAGUUAAUAACAUCAAAGAUUGUGAAAGCAAGUAUAAAUAACACAGAGAUUAAAAUAAUGAGGCAGGAU